CCUACGGGAGGCAGCAGUGGGGAAUAUUGGACGAUGGGCGCAAGCCUGACCCAGCAACGCCGCGUGAAGGAAGAAGGCCUUCGGGUUGUAAACUUCUUUUGACAGGGAAGAGCAGAAGACGGUACCUGUCGAAUAAGCUACGGCUAACUACGUGCCAGCAGCCGCGGUAAUACGUAGGUGGCAAGCGUUGUCCGGAUUUACUGGGUGUAACGGGCGUGUAGCCGGGCUGACAAGUCAGAUGUGAAAUCUGGGGGCUCAACCCCCGAACUGCAUUUGAAACUGUUGGUCUUGAGUAUCGGAGAGGCAGGCGGAAUUCCUGGUGUAGCGGUGAAAUGCGUAGAUAUUAGGAGGAACACCAGUGGCGAAGGCGGCCUGCUGGACGACAACUGACGGUGAGGCGCGAAAGCGUGGGGAGCAAACAGGAUUAGAUACCCCAGUAGUC
rnacentral:rRNA from 1 species